AUUGAACGCUGGCGGCAUGCUUUACACAUGCAAGUCGGACGGCAGCACGGAGAAGCUUGCUUCUUGGGUGGCGAGUGGCGAACGGGUGAGUAACAUAUCGGAACGUACCGAGCAGUGGGGGAUAACUAAUCGAAAGAUUAGCUAAUACCGCAUAUAUUCUGAGGAAGAAAGCAGGGGACCAUUUGGCCUUGCGCUGUUUGAGCGGCCGAUAUCUGAUUAGCUAGUUGGUGGGGUAAAGGCCUACCAAGGCGACGAUCAGUAGCGGGUCUGAGAGGAUGAUCCGCCACACUGGGACUGAGACACGGCCCAGACUCCUACGGGAGGCAGCAGUGGGGAAUUUUGGACAAUGGGCGCAAGCCUGAUCCAGCCAUGCCGCGUGUCUGAAGAAGGCCUUCGGGUUGUAACUGACUUUUGUCAGGAAAGAAAAAGGCGGGGUUAAUACCCCUGUCUGAUGACG
rnacentral:rRNA from 1 species